ACCAAAUGUUCAAGGUUAUACAAUGAGAGAGCUCUCUUUCUUCUUCGGAAUGAUCUUUCUCUUUCUUUUGUUUUCAGUUCUUCUUAUUCUUCAAUUUUUGAAAGGUUUUAACCAAAAUUAGACACUUUUAAUCAUUAUUCGAAAAAUCAUUCCUUUUGAUUUACUCAAUACUCAUUUUUGCAAAUUUCAUUCCUUUCUUUCUUAAUGGUUUCCUGGGAGCUUCGAACCCUUAGUUUAUGUUCUUCUAUGCAUGUAACUGAAUCGGAGAUUAGUAACAUUUUGCUUAAUUUGUGUUGAAAUAAUUAUUGAAUUGGAUGAUUGAAACAAGUUCAAGCUUUUAAAUUUUUGUGAAUGUGUUCUGAAUUCUGAUCCGCAGGUUGUGUGGUAUCCAGAAUUGAAUUUGGUUGUUCAAGAUUGUGAAGGAUUUGCUGAAUACUUUUCCUUCAGUUCUGAAAAACAGAUCCCUGCUACAACCAUAAUAAGUGGUUCAGCUACAAAGAAAACAGGAGGUUCAGUUACAAAGAAAACAGUCGUCGACCUGUCACCUUUCGCAGCUAGCUUUCCAUAUAUUCCUGGCCUGAAAGAGCUAAACUAGUCAACUUAAACAUGCCAAAAUUUGUCAGAUGGGAUUGGCCACUUGGAAUUCUUAGAAUAACUGGACUUGAGCGGAAAUGAUUCUGAGAGCUUACCAGAAGAUAUGAAUAGAAUUUCCCGGUUGAAAACUCUAUGGCUCCAGCAAACUCAAGGAAUUGACAGAGCUAACUCAGGUGCAGUCACUCACUCUUUCCAAAUGUAGGAACCUCAGAUCAUUGGUGAAUCCCUCUGAUGCCUUGACAAUUGCAAGAACGUGAUGUCAUUAUUAGACCAGCUAAGUCAUUUCACCAAGUUAGAUCUCAGCAGCUAUUAAAGCAUUAGAGAUCUUACCUCAUUGGUAACUCUCUGCCUCAAUAACUGCAAGAAACUCAAAUCGGGGUGAAAGAAAUGCCACUGAGCCUUCAGUUUCUCGAUGCACGCACAUGGCUGUGAUUCUCUUGAAGCUGAUGCUUUAGAACAUUUCAGAGGGAGACUUAACAAAGAGGUACCGCGUAAUGCCUGCUUCCAAGAUAAUGAGAUUAAGAGGAUCACCAAGCCAUAAAGAGUCGCCUGGCCAAGUUCCUACACUGCUCAUAUUUGUGUGCCAUGCUUAUGAAUGUUCUUCUCAUUAUGAUCCUGUGUGAACAGCUACGUUGAUGACUUUUCAUGGCCUUUCGAAUGAAGUAAGUAAGAGUGUUCAAGCAAACCAUUUAUUUCAGUUUUAAUUUCAGCUGUAUCUGUGUUCUUAUUGUAUCUUUGAAAGCGAGAGAGAAACUUUGUGAAAUAGAGAUCAUUUAGUGUAAGUUAUUUUACUAAAUGAUCUAGUGUAAUGAAGCUGUUCACGAAACAGUAGAA